rnacentral:rRNA from 1 species
GACGAACGCUGGCGGCAGGUUUAACACAUGCAAGUCGAGCGGAGAUGAGGUGCUUGCACCUUAUCUUAGCGGCGGACGGGUGAGUAAUGCUUAGGAAUCUGCCUAUUAGUGGGGGACAACAUUCCGAAAGGAAUGCUAAUACCGCAUACGUCCUACGGGAGAAAGCAGGGGAUCUUCGGACCUUGCGCUAAUAGAUGAGCCUAAGUCGGAUUAGCUAGUUGGUGGGGUAAAGGCCUACCAAGGCGACGAUCUGUAGCGGGUCUGAGAGGAUGAUCCGCCACACUGGGACUGAGACACGGCCCAGACUCCUACGGGAGGCAGCAGUGGGGAAUAUUGGACAAUGGGGGGAACCCUGAUCCAGCCAUGCCGCGUGUGUGAAGAAGGCCUUAUGGUUGUAAAGCACUUUAAGCGAGGAGGAGGCUACUGAGACUAAUACUCUUGGAUAGUGGACGUUACUCGCAGAAUAAGCACCGGCUAACUCUGUGCCAGCCGCCGCAGUAACAC